rnacentral:lncRNA from 1 species
CCAUCAAUAACAAAGGUUUUUUUAACAAUUUCUUUUAUAUUUUUUGUUCAUUUUCUUCUUUCAGUAAUGAAGGAAUAUAAGUCAUGAGUCCUGGCUCAGACUGGCUAAGAUGCUCUGGAAUUGAAAUGAAAUGAAAUCCAGUGCAAUAGCUGAAUCUGUGGGUCUGCCUUUGUCUUUAAAGGCACUGAUGAUAAAGCAGGGUCCACCUGGGCAUAAUAUUUUUUUUUCCUGUUAGAAGCUGAAAUAACAAUUUGAUAGGACCUUAGAGGAAUUUAUGCUCUCUUUGAAGGAUUUCUUCGGUUAUUCCCUCUCUCUUCAGGGAACAGUUUCCUCCUCACUGUUUCUCUAUGUUUUCCUUUACAUUUCUUUACUAGUGGAACUCUUCACAUGGGAAGGACUUCAGAGGUGAGGCCACCCUUAAAAGGGGAAAAAAGUCUGAGUUCACUCCUUUGGGGGAAGUCAGAGGCAUCCUGAGGCACAUGCUGGCAAAACCAAGAUGGUAGUCUCUUUGGGGUCCCUUCCCAUGGUCAUCGAUUACAUCUUCUUUUUAAAUUCUGGGGUACUUUGUGAAUGAAUGCUCAUUGGAAAGGCAUCAGAGAUGACCAGAAAGGCUACCCUAAGUAUAAGAAACCAGAAAACUGCCCAAGUCAUUAAGCCCCUAAGUGACACGGUGUUUACACACACAUAUGUGCAAAGACUCAUGACUAACAGCACAACAAAGCAGCAGCAGCAUUCACCAGAAGUAACACUAUCUGGUUGCUGUGAAGACUCUUGCAGCAAGGCAACAGAUGCUGGCCACUUCCUGGAAAAGGGGCUGCGACUGUGCACUCAGUGGGAGCCAUUUCCUGGUCUCUAAAUACCAGAGCAGCUAAAGACACAUGAGAAAGCUCCUGACUCUGGAGCAUUUUGUUUCUCUUUGGGAGAUGCUAUGCUCCAUGUGCUCAUGGAUGGAUGCAGCCCCAUGGUACAGGGAAGUGGUGCCAAAUGGCCACGUGCACUCCACCAGGUGACACAGAGCACUUGGCCCCAGUGCUGCGAGCACUGCAGUGAUACCUUCCCUUCCGCCACACACCAUGUGCUGAGCACCUCUAAUGGCUCUGGGACAUCCAGAGCUCAGAUAGGAC